CCUACGGGAGGCAGCAGUCGAGAAUCAUUCACAAUGGGGGAAACCCUGAUGGUGCGACGCCGCGUGGGGGAAUGAAGGUCUUCGGAUUGUAAACCCCUGUCAUGUGGGAGCAAAUUAAAAAGAUAGUACCACAAGAGGAAGAGACGGCUAACUCUGUGCCAGCAGCCGCGGUAAUACAGAGGUCUCAAGCGUUGUUCGGAAUCACUGGGGGUCAAGCGUGCGUAGGCUGUUUCGUAAGUCGUGUGUGAAAGGCGCGGGCUCAACCCGCGGACGGCACGUGAUACUGGGAGACUAGAGUAAGGGAGGGGGAGGGGGAAUUCUGGGUGUAGAGGUGAAAUGCGUAGAGAGCGAGAGGAACACUCGUGGCGAAGGCGGGCUCCUAGAACUUAACUGACGCUGAGGCGCGAAGGCGAGGGGAGCAAAAGGGAUUAGAUACCCGAGUAGUC
rnacentral:rRNA from 1 species